UUAGCUCAUAUUUGUAUGGAGUGGGAUCUUUUGCGUACGUUUGCCGCUAGGGGCGCUGUUUCAACUGCAUACAAAAUUGGGUUA
rnacentral:pre_miRNA from 1 species